UCCCAUUGGCCGCCCGCCUGUGUACCCGCCACGCCUGGGACUUCCCCGUGUAGGUCUGUCCUCGCAGUCACCAGGCACCACAGCAUCCAGAGGGCACCCCAGCCCGGGAGCAGGGUCAGGGAUGGGUGGAAACUGAAUGGGAAAGCACCUGGAAAGACCAGGGGCUGCCCGGAGGCUAUGCUGCUGCGAGGAGCCGGCUCGGGGUGGGCGCAGGGUGAGCAGGGUGCCGCUGGCUGCUGGGGUCUGCAGGUCACCGAGCCCCCGGGAGAGGGGACUGCUGAGGCGGCACCUGCCUGUGUUUACGGGGCAGCGAGCGCGUCGGCCCCCGCGAACUCCCGGCAGCGCUCAGGAAAGGCCGUUGCGCCCCGCGCGGGAAACAGAGCGGUUGACCAUGGUUGCAACUGGCAGUUUGAGCAGUAAGAACCCGGCCAACAUUUCAGAAUUGCUGGACCGUGCCUAUCACCCAGAGAGCCUGCUAAGUGAUUUUGACUACUGGGAUUAUGUUGUUCCUGAACCCAACCUCAACGAGGUAAUAUUUGAGGAAUCGACUUGCCAGAAUUUGGUUAAAAUGCUGGAGAACUGUCUGUCCGAAUCAAAGCAAACCAAACUUGGUUGCUCAAAUGUCCUUGUCCCAGAGAAACUGACCCAGAGAAUUGCUCAAGAUGCCCUACGGCUUUCCUCCACGGAGCCCUGUGGCUUGCAAGGUUGUGUUAUGCACGUGAACUUGGAAAUUGAAUAUGUAUGUAAAAAGCUGGAUAGGAUUGUGUGUGAUUCUAGUGUGGUGCCUACUUUUGAGCUUACACUUGUGUUUAAGCAGGAGAACUAACUGCUCAUGGACUAGAUUCAGGGAUUUCUUUAGUAGAGGUUGCUUCUCCUCUGGUUUCAGGAGAACUCUGAUCCUCAGCUCAGGAUUUCGACUUGUUAAGAAAAAACUUUACUCACUGAUUGGAACAACAGUCUUUGAAGGGUCCUAAAAAGGGAACAUUUAUAAAGGUUAUUUCAUGAUUGGGUAGUGAAACUAUUCAGCUAGUCAACUAAAGUCAUCUGUAGUUUGCCCCACCUACCCUCAGUAAGAAACCCCAAAUGUAGUCCAUUUUUUUUUUGUGUUUCACAUUCAUAGCAACUGCAGCUAACAGGCUGAUUUUCUGGCCUUUGGAGAAAUGAUCCAAAAUAGUGUACAUUUUCUGCAUAUAUCACAUUUUUGUAGAGAAUUGAAUGAGAUGGAAUAGGUAAGCAAAAGUAGAAGUCCAUUUGAGUUGUACAGUUGAUUCCACAAUUUCGUUUCAGGUAGGUUUGCUAAUAGACUGCAUAAACCAGAUUUGCCUAGUUUGAUUUUCAUAUGGCUUUUUUUUUUUCCUGUAAGUUUUCAGAGUGAUUCUUUAAAUCACAGAAUCUUACUAAGUGACACUAGCCUAUCAAAACUUCCGGAAGCCUACACAACCAGUUCCUGACUCAAACUUGAAUGGUUCUUAGACAGGAAGGUAGGAUUAAGUAGGUGAGUCUAAUUAAAGCUUAACCCUAGGUAAGAGUGAAUGAGAAAUAUUACAGGUAUAAUAGAACUGCUUCACUGUUUCUUGGUGAGUUCCUCACACUAAUGUUUUAAAAAGGCAACAAAAGCUUGUGCUGCCAUUUCAGUAACCACAGUGUUGUUUUGGAUGCUUUUAUAAGCUCAGUUUCCCUUGUUCUUAAGUGUUAAAUAUUGUUUUUAAACUAGAAAAAUGCAAAAUAUUGAACCGAUAUUUUUGUGUGUAGUUGAUUACUCUUCCAUUGAGUGAAUGAUGAAUGCCUGUGAGGGCAGCAAAUUAGUUCUGAGAUUUAGUCCCUCUCUUAUUUAGUAAUCUGUCUUCUUUUCAGUAUUACAUAUGCUUAAUCUCGGAUGAACCAUUUCACCAUGUCAGUGUUAUCUCAUCUCUGGGCUUCUCUGGGAAUUGAGGUAUCUCUCCUUAACCCCAAUUUUCAAGGGCAGUAGCUGUAUACUACCACUUUGAAUUAUCGAAACGGAUCAGUUUACAAAGUCUGCAUUGGCUAUGGAGAUAUGGUUUAUGGUACAGCCUAGAGAAUGAAACUCACAGCCCAGAUAACCAUGCAUAUACCCGGAUUUCUUCCACCUUGGAUACCUGUCACUAGGGAAUAAUAAAGGCCUUAUUUUUUGUCUUAAAAAAAAAAAAAAAAAGACCAGGGGCUGAAAGCUUUUGGCUUCCUGCUUUCUUACCACUCGACCGCUUGACGCAAAAAUUCCCAACCACUCCCUGUAACUCUAGCCCCCAUUUUGAUGCCCACCUGCUCUCAUCGGGUCCUAGAAUUUCUUCAUGGUGGUCCAUCCUGGCAGCCCUUCCUCCUUAUAGCAGCCUGAAGGCACCCAAGCCUGGAAGCUAAUCAGAGGCGGGCCUGGCUGGGUAUUGAACAGGGGACCACAUGGGAAGACCAGGGCCUGGAGGCUUUUGACUUCCUGCUCCCUUCCCACUUUCCCCCGUCAUCUCAAAACUUUCCAUCCACCACCUGACUCUGUGAAUACCUUUUCCCACCCACCUGCACCUUGCUGCUUCUGGGGAUAUUUCCAUUGGAAUUCUUCCUUCCCAACUGUGUCCUGAGCCUCUGGCUCUUCAUUUCCCUUAAGCCUGGGCUCCCACUACAACCCGGGACCUCUCUGUGUAAGUCCUCCCUGGUAGCUUUCGGGUGACAUAGCAGCCUAGGGGUACCCCAGUUAGGAAGCUGAGCUGGGUCAGGACUGGCUGGGGCUUGUAUGGGAGACCCCGUGGGGAGACUGGUUCUGGAGGCUUUUGGCUUCUGUCUCCCUUCCCGCCUUUCCCUGCUUGACACAAUGCUACCAAACUUCUUACUCUCUGGCCCUACAUCUGUCACCUGACAGUGCCCCACCAUGGCUUAGAACCUACCCAGGGGGUUGUGUUCCAGCAACAGAUGCUACCCCCAAGCAUCAUAGCAGCCUGAGGGUGCCCCAGCCUGAAAGCUAAGCAGGGUGAGGUUUUCAUGGGGCUUGCAUGGGGGACCAAUGUAAGACAUCAAGGGCUGGAGGCUUUUGGCUUCCCGAUCUCCCUGCUUUCCCCACUUGUUGCAACACUUUACAAUGACCUCAACUCUCUGGACCCCUUUCCUGCAGGUCUGUGACCCGUCUGUGGCCCUGGGCUUUCCCAUAACGGUUCGUCCUGGUAGACCCCGGGUGCCAUAGUUGCCUGAAGGCGCCCCAGCCCGGGAGCUAAGCAGGGUCAGGCCUGGCUAAGGCUUAGAUGAGGGACUGCCUGGAAGAACAGGGGGCUGAAAGUUUUUGGCUUCUUGCUCUCUUCCCACUUUCCCCCGAUUGUGGCAAUGCCUCCCAACCGCCCCCUGACUCACUGGCUAUCCCUUUUCUGCCCGCCUGUGUUUUCGCUGUGGCCUGAGACUUCACUGAAGGGGUCUAUCUCUGAAGCCACCAAAUGCCAUUGCUUCUUGAGGGCACCCCCGCUCACCUAAGCAGGGUUGGGACUGGCUGGGGUUGGAUGGCAAAAAGCCUGAGGAGAUAAGGGCCUGGAAGAUGUCGGCUUCCUACUCUUUUCCAAGUUCUGCUUGUCAUAAAGCUUCCCAAUAGACCCCUGACUCUCUGGUCCCUUCUUUCUCAUCCCAGUGCAACCAUGCUGCAGCUCGGGACCUCCCCGUGGGGUCAUUUUCAACAGGUACGGGGCACCAUAACAGCCUGAGGGCUUCCCAGUACAGAAGCUUAGCAGGGUCAGGCCUUGCUGCACCUUGCACAAAGGACCUCCUGGAGAGAACGGGGGCUGGAGGCUUUCGGCUUCCGGCUCUUUUUCCACUUUCCCCGCUGCCGAAAUUCUUACCAACAGCCCCCUUACAUUCUGGCCUUCUGUUCCCUGCCUGGAUUCGGCCCACCACGGUUCUGGACCUCCCCUUGGGGCUCCGUGUAGGCAGCCCACGAACACCAUAGCAGUCUGAGAGUCAGGGGGUGGUGAGAACUGUGUGACAACGGGGAAAGCAGGAAAAGAAAAGGAAGCCAAAAGCCUCCAGGCCUGGUCUUUCCACCAAGUUCUCCAUCCAAGCACAGCCAGGCCCAACCCUGCUUAGCUUUCAGGCUGGGAAGCCCUCAGGCUGCUAUGGUGACUGGGGGCUGCCAGAACGGACUCACAGAGGGAAGUCCUAGGCCGAGGCGGGGGCACAGGCGAGCAGGAAAGGGGGUGUAAGAGAGUCAGAGGGCAGCUGGGAAGAGUUGCCAAAAGCCUGGGAAGGUGGGAAGUGAGCAGGAGGCUAAAAGCCUCCAGCCACCGCAUUCCCCAGGCGGUCCCUUAUCUAAGCCCCAGCCAUGCUCUCGCCUUCUCAACUUCAGUGCUGGGGUGCCCUCAGGCUGCUAUGCUGACUGGGGUCAGAUGAAACGGACCCACACAGGGAGGUCCUCCUCCAUGUUGGAGGUGCAGGUUAGCGGGAAAUGGGGUCCAGAGAGGGGCGGAUGUUAAGAAGUGUUGCGACAAGUGGCGGAAAAUAGGAAAACAGCUGGAAGCCAAAAGCCUUUAGGCCCAGUCUCCCCAGGCAGUCCCCCAUCCAAGGCUCAGUCAAGCCCGACACUGUAGCUUCCGGCCGGUCGAGGCGCUCUCAGACAGCUAUGGCCCACGGAACCUUCCAGGAGAAACUCCCACAAAAAGAUCCUGGGCAGCAGCGAGAACCCCGGCAGGCGGGAGCCCAGAGGCUAAGCAGAGUCAAGCCUGGUUGGGCUUGGAAGACAGACUGCCUGGAAUGUCUGGAGCCUGGAUGCUUCUGUCUUUUCGCUUCCUUCCAGCUUUCCCCCACUUGUCCCAACACUUCCCAAUCACCCGACUCUCUCUAUCCUCUCUUUCGCACUUUUCUGUGCCCCUGCCACAGCCCAGGACUUCCCAAUGUGGGUUUGUCUCGGUAGCCCUCAGGCACCAGAGCAGCUCUAGGGUACCACACCCAGAAGCUAAGCCAGGUCGGGCCUGGCUGAGGCUUGAAAAGGGGCCUGCGUAGGGAUACAGGGGACUGGAGGAUUUUGGCUUCCCGCUUCCUUACACUUUUCCCUCGCUUUUUGAAGCGCUUCCCUGGCGCCCCUGACUCUCUGAGUUUCCUUUUCUCAUCUAACUGCUCCUAUAUCACAAUCCGGGGUCUCUACUUGGAAGUCCACUUCAGAAGGCAAUGGUGGCCACAGCAGCCUGAUAGCGCCCCCGGCAGAAAUUAAACAGAAUUAGGUCUGGAUGGAGCUUGGAUGAGAGAUCGCCUGGGGAGACUGGGGACUUGAGGCUUUUUGCUUUCCCCUCCCUUCCUGUGCCCCUCCACCCCGCCCCCGCUUGUAGCUAUGCUUCUCAACA